rnacentral:rRNA from 1 species
CCUACGGGAGGCAGCAGUGGGGGAUAUUGCACAAUGGGGGAAACCCUGAUGCAGCGACGCCGCGUGUGGGAAGACGGUCCUCUGGAUUGUACACCACUGUCCCCAGGGACGAAGAUGACGGUACCUGGGGAGGAAGCUCCGGCUAACUACGUGCCAGCAGCCGCGGUAAUACGUAGGGAGCGAGCGUUGUCCGGAAGUACUGGGUGUAAGGGGAGCGUAGGCGGGACUGCAAGUUGGGUGUCAAAUCUACCGGCUCAACCGGUAGCCGCACUCAAAACUGCAGUGCUUGAGUGAAGUAGAGGCAGGCGGAAUUCCUAGUGUAGCGGUGAAAUGCGUAGAUAUUAGGAGGAACACCAGUGGCGAAGGCGGCCUGCUGGGCUUUUACUGACGCUGAGGCUCGAAAGUGUGGGGAGCAAACAGGAUUAGAUACCCUUGUAGUC